UCUGAAGGCUCUCUGACCCUGCCAUAGACAGCAAGGUAACUACCACGUUCAAGGUCCAGAAAAGCACCAAGAUGAUCAACAAAGCAGUCCGUGUAACAUCAGUGGUUGAACUCUAAAGUUACGAAGCUACGAGAAUACUUUUUUGCGCAAAGAAAACAAAAAUAACGACUUUAUUUCACAUUUUUGUCUCUACCGCAUCACUUUGGACGUGCGUUUACGACGGUACCAUGACGCAAGCGUGUGGCGGUGCUGACCCAGAUCCAGCGUGAUGACGUCACAACUUUAAGUUGAACC